GAUGAACGCUAGCGAUAGGCUUAACACAUGCAAGUCGAGGGGUAACGUGUUGGCAGCUUGCUUCCGAUGACGACGACCGGCGGAUGGGUGCGUAACGCGUAUGCAACUUGCCUCACAGUGGAGAAUAACCCGGAGAAAUCCGGACUAAUACUCCAUACACUCUUAAGUACGCCUGUACAUGAUAGGCAAGAUUUAUCGCUGUGAGAUAGGCAUGCGUCCUAUUAGGUAGUUGGUGAGGUAACGGCUCACCAAGCCGACGAUAGGUAGGGGUGCUGAGAAGCAGAUCCCCCACAUUGGGACUGAGACACGGCCCAAACUCCUACGGGAGGCAGCAGUGAGGAAUAUUGGUCAAUGGAGGAAACUCUGAACCAGCCAAGUCGCGUGAAGGAAGAAUGUCCUAAGGAUUGUAAACUUCUUUAGCGAGCGAGUAAGGACUUCCACGUGAUGGGAGUUUGAAAGUAGCUCGAGAAUAAGUAUCGGCUAACUCCGUG
rnacentral:rRNA from 1 species